rnacentral:rRNA from 1 species
GCUCGAAAGAGUGAACGAGCUAACUGGAAUCCAAUGUUGCGGAGAAAUUUGUAACAUUGGAUAAUGUAAGGGAGGAUUAUGACGUUACCUUACGAUAAGUGUCGUCCAAACACUGGUGCCAGAAGACUCGGUAAUACCAGAGACGCAAACGUUAGUCAUCUUAAAUUGGCGUAAAGGGUUCGUAGGCAGCUUACGCGCUAUACGCGCAUCGUAAAUUAUUACAUUAAAGUAAUGAAGCGAGAUUAGGUAAGAUAGAAUCAAAUGGAGGAAAUAGGACAAUACUUAGAUGAGGGUUGAAAUAUGCAGAUUUUAAGUAGAGAACCCAUGGCGAAGGCUCCUUUCCAAAAGUGAUUGACGCUGAGGAACGAAGGUGUAGAUAGGAAAUAGGAUUAGAUACCCUGGUACCCUCCACUGUAAACGAUGAAUGGUAAGAGUAUAUACAAAGUUAUUAAAAUAAGUUAGACCAUUAUAAUCAUUCCUUCCCUUAAAAGAAAGAGUGCAUUCUCUUAUAUAUGUGUAAUUCUAAAUUUAAAUUUACUUCUUUUUAGAUUUAUUAUUAAGCUGUAUAAUAUUUUAUGUUUUAAUUACUUAUUUUAAUCCGGAUUUUAAAUUUUGGAUUAUAUCUAAAAUCAAUGAAAUAAACUUAAUAAGUAUAUGUUCUGAUGCUAAGUGCGAUAACCAUUCCGCCUUGUGAGUAUACUUUGCAAAAGUGAAAAUAAAAAAAUUAGUCGGUUUUAGAGCAAACG